rnacentral:rRNA from 1 species
GCGUGAGUGAUGAAGGCCUUAGGGUUGUAAAGCUCUUUUACCCGGGAUGAUAAUGACAGUACCGGGAGAAUAAGCUCCGGCUAACUCCGUGCCAGCAGCCGCGGUAAUACGGAGGGAGCUAGCGUUGUUCGGAAUUACUGGGCGUAAAGCGCGCGUAGGCGGUUUCUUAAGUCAGAGGUGAAAGCCUGGAGCUCAACUCCAGAACUGCCUUUGAAACUGGGCAACUUGAAUCUUGGAGAGGUCAGUGGAAUUCCGAGUGUAGAGGUGAAAUUCGU